rnacentral:rRNA from 1 species
UUUAUGGAGAGUUUGAUCCUGGCUCAGGAUGAACGCUGGCGGCGUGCCUAAUACAUGCAAGUCGAGCGAACGGACGAGAAGCUUGCUUCUCUGAUGUUAGCGGCGGACGGGUGAGUAACACGUGGAUAACCUACCUAUAAGACUGGGAUAACUUCGGGAAACCGGAGCUAAUACCGGAUAAUAUUUUGAACCGCAUGGUUCAAAAGUGAAAGACGGUCUUGCUGUCACUUAUAGAUGGAUCCGCGCUGCAUUAGCUAGUUGGUAAGGUAACGGCUUACCAAGGCAACGAUGCAUAGCCGACCUGAGAGGGUGAUCGGCCACACUGGAACUGAGACACGGUCCAGACUCCUACGGGAGGCAGCAGUAGGGAAUCUUCCGCAAUGGGCGAAAGCCUGACGGAGCAACGCCGCGUGAGUGAUGAAGGUCUUCGGAUCGUAAAACUCUGUUAUUAGGGAAGAACAUAUGUGUAAGUAACUGUGCACAUCUUGACGGUACCUAAUCAGAAAGCCACGGCUAACUACGUGCCAGCAGCCGCGGUAAUACGUAGGUGGCAAGCGUUAUCCGGAAUUAUUGGGCGUAAAGCGCGCGUAGGCGGUUUUUUAAGUCUGAUGUGAAAGCCCACGGCUCAACCGUGGAGGGUCAUUGGAAACUGGAAAACUUGAGUGCAGAAGAGGAAAGUGGAAUUCCAUGUGUAGCGGUGAAAUGCGCAGAGAUAUGGAGGAACACCAGUGGCGAAGGCGACUUUCUGGUCUGUAACUGACGCUGAUGUGCGAAAGCGUGGGGAUCAAACAGGAUUAGAUACCCUGGUAGUCCACGCCGUAAACGAUGAGUGCUAAGUGUUAGGGGGUUUCCGCCCCUUAGUGCUGCAGCUAACGCAUUAAGCACUCCGCCUGGGGAGUACGACCGCAAGGUUGAAACUCAAAGGAAUUGACGGGGACCCGCACAAGCGGUGGAGCAUGUGGUUUAAUUCGAAGCAACGCGAAGAACCUUACCAAAUCUUGACAUCCUUUGACAACUCUAGAGAUAGAGCCUUCCCCUUCGGGGGACAAAGUGACAGGUGGUGCAUGGUUGUCGUCAGCUCGUGUCGUGAGAUGUUGGGUUAAGUCCCGCAACGAGCGCAACCCUUAAGCUUAGUUGCCAUCAUUAAGUUGGGCACUCUAAGUUGACUGCCGGUGAUAAACCGGAGGAAGGUGGGGAUGACGUCAAAUCAUCAUGCCCCUUAUGAUUUGGGCUACACACGUGCUACAAUGGACAAUACAAAGGGCAGCGAAACCGCGAGGUCAAGCAAAUCCCAUAAAGUUGUUCUCAGUUCGGAUUGUAGUCUGCAACUCGACUACAUGAAGCUGGAAUCGCUAGUAAUCGUAGAUCAGCAUGCUACGGUGAAUACGUUCCCGGGUCUUGUACACACCGCCCGUCACACCACGAGAGUUUGUAACACCCGAAGCCGGUGGAGUAACCUUUUAGGAGCUAGCCGUCGAAGGUGGGACAAAUGAUUGGGGUGAAGUCGUAACAAGGUAGCCGUAUCGGAAGGUGCGGCUGGAUCACCUCCUUUCU